GUUGAAAAUUGCCUGAAUUUGACGGAAGACACCGAUUUCACGAGCUCAGGAAACCCCGGUCAGUCCAAGUCAGGGAAAUGAUGUCAAAGCCCGUUACAGCCGGAGAGCAGGACAAAGAGAAACUUUUGGAAGCAGCUGCCCAGAAGCGACACGGCACUCGGGGGAGCGAUAAUUUGGGUAAAUGCUCGCUUCUCGUGACAGAGCCGGAGGCAGCGGGAGAUAUUUUUAAUGUCCUUUAACUAAAAGGAAAAAAAAAAUCCUAUGAACAGAAAAACUAUUCUUUGAGAAUAAAAGUGAAAGACAUUUUCAGAUAAAAGAAAACGCGAAUUUUUCACCAACAUAGAUGCUGAAGGAGACCCUUCGAACGGGUGAGAUGACCCCAGACGGACGCCUGGGACCCGUCCCCAGGAGCCUCGCCACGCGUGUGGGGACCAUGAAAUGCCCGCUGGGUGCGGGGUGCCUGUGCCCGGCCCUGCAGUGUCCCCCCACCCCCAGGACGCGGUCUGGGCACGUGGCGGCCCAUUGCCAGGUUCACGGUCCGAGGGGAGGGGAGGAGGAGCUCGUUCACACAGCUCUCUCAGAGGGAGGGGUUGGCGGUCAUGCCGGAGGCCGUGACAGGGGCCCAGGGGCUCUGGCUCCCGCGUGGGGGGUCGGGGGCUAGCCUCAGGGCCCAGUGGUGCCACCUUGGGCCAAUGGCCUCACCCCUGUGCCUCUGCGUGCCGAUUACACAGGACCAGCUGGGGCCUCAGGCCUCAGGGCGCCUCUGGCAUUGGAGGUCUGGGAACGGCAGGUUUGGGGUUCCGGGGCUCCCUGGCUCUCGGAGCCACAGGGAGAUGAGGGGCUGAGGCAGGGGGGCUGCGUGCAGCCACGGUGCCCACGUCCCAGCCCUCGUCUCCUCCACGGGGCAGGAAGGGUUGUUCUCUGCCCUGCCGCGGCCUCUGCUCUCAGAGCCGGCUUGUGGGGUCCUGGCUCCCUGGCUUCUCCCAGGGGAGAAGUCUGGGGUCAGGGCUCUGGUGUCAGAGGCCGGGGGAGGGGCUUCUUUGCUCUCUGCACCCCUGCCUCACUCCGCAGGCCACCGCUCACGGUGACCAGGCGUGCCCCUCUCCACGCUCACACUGGGUCUGCCAAUCCCUUCCUUCUGCCUCCCUGACUCGCGGGGAACUCAGCCCUAACUUCCAGGCCUAAGUCAAGGGCGCUGUCCGCCCGCAAGAAGCCAAGAACCGCAAGCCUGCCCUCUCCACCCUGGGGCCAGGCGCAGGCUGGGGUGGGGAGGGCGGGCAGAGCCAGAGGGGCGAGCACUCAGCUCCCAGGCCCUCAGGCCGCUCCUCCCGAGCCUGUGCUGACCUCUCCUCUUGCCCCCUCGGGCCACCAGCCAUGUCUUCCUCUGUAGACAGGCGUGAGGGGCCGGUGGCCGUGGAGCUGGUGGCCCAAGAGUGAGAGGGGCCUCGCCGCCCCAGCACGUGAAUAUGGAUUUGUGCCUAAGGACAGGCGGUGGCAGGCUCGGCCCUAAUUAGUGUGCGAUGGCUGCUCCCUCCGCCCCUGGGAGCCGGGGUGGGGGUGGGGGGGCAUCAAAGGAAGGCAGCCUGCUAAUCCCCCUCUUCCAAGGGCGGCAUCUGCUCCCUCCCUCCCCCGGGCGCGUCUCUCUGACAGCAGGCCGCGAGAGUCUGGGCUAUUUAAUUAGGCCGGAAAGUUCCCCCAACCCUGGGAAAUGAUUUCAUUUCAAUAUUUCCUUUGCCGAGUGCGACACCCUCCCCCAUCCUCAAAGGCCUUUCAUCUGCGGCUCGGCCCAUCCCCCGCCAGGGGCCUCUCCCCUCCCCUCUCAUUGGCAUCCUGUUCAAGGGGCCAGGCUGGGCCGGGGGCGGCGGUGGCUGGCCUUUGAGAGAGGCCGUCCCCCCCCCCCCCCCGCCAGCCGUUGGCCCAGCUGCGGCUGGUAACCAGCUGCGUGCAUCCUGCCAGCCUGGCCUCCCGCCCGCACGCCCUGGGUCCUACCCCAGACCUUGGCCAAGCAGCUCCCUCUCCAGGCGUGCCCUGCCCCCCCCUUCCCGGGGCAGGUCCAGGCUGCGUGAGGAGCCGCCCGCCCUGAGACAUGAUGUCACACGGAGCUCGUCCCUCCCUGCUUUUGUCAGCCUCUGCUGGCCGGGUCACCCUUCGUGGGCCCCAGUCCCGCCUGCCUGAUUCUGCUCCCGGUGCUCGUGUGUACAGGGCUGUGUGCACAUACCCUGCACGUGUGAGGCUGUCUGUGCGUGCUUGUGCACACGCGUGGGGGUGCAUGGUACGCGUGGGGGUGCAUGGUACGCGUGGGGGUGCGAGGUUGCGUGUACAUCUGUGCCUGCGAGUGUGUGUGGUCGGCACGUGCGUGCACACGUGUACCUGUGCGUGUAUGCGUGUGCACAUGUAGGCACGUCUGUGGGAGCCUGUGAGGUCUGAGCCUGGUUCCUGUCUCUCUUUAGGCGGCUGGCGCUCCCAUCCUCCACGGACCGUGCGGGGCCAGCACCAGGCCCGGCUGCAGAGCAAAGGCUCCCGGGUGGUGGGGGGUAGGAUCUGGGGGGUGCUGGGGGGGAGGUCCUGAGCUCCCGAGGCCCUCUGCAGACUCAGUCUCCACGUUUGUACAAACUCGUCCGUCCCCGAGGUCUGUGCCCAGAGCACAGCCACAGGCCCGAAGGUCAGGCCGACUUUGCCUCAGGGGGGGUCAGCACCCCAGCCGGCCCCCCCCCCCCGCCCUCUCUGAAGCAGCGCCCCCCACAGCGUCCUCCUCUGUCCUCCUCCACUUGGGCCCGGAGGCCCUCCUGGAGGCGGCUAAUGAGAGGUGUCAGCUGGGAGGCUCUUCUGGGGAACCUGCCGUCCUGAGCGAUUUCUAAACGGGAAAGUCUAACCUCACUGAGUCCUUUGAACGCGUCCGAGUGACGAGUGACGGAGCCGCAGAGGCAGCCCUCGGAGCAGCCGGGAGCCGGAGAGGAGAGGAGAUUGAUCUCCACUGGCCUCCUGAAUGUGGAGUUCUUAAGAAGCUGUUUGUCACGCGGCCCCGAAGGCGAGACAAAACGCUCUCGCAGACAGGCGUCCCACGUCUUCACCGCGGCCAAGUAUCGACGGUAUUGAUCGCGCGGCCCUGGGAUCCCCCCCCCCCACCCUCCGCCCAGGAAGUGAGACACUCAGGGCUCCGGGGCCCCCGCCCCUCCCCCACCCGGCACCCACUCCUCAGCGGGCCGUCGGCGUCCUCGGGGGCAGCGGGCAGCGGGGCCUGGCACGUGCUGGUCGUUCUGUGGACCCUCAGUGCCAGGAUGGGGGAACGAGACACCAGGAGUCUGGGGGGGUCGGAGACAGGCUGUUGGAUUCUCAGCGCUACGCCCCUGCCAGGUCAGCUGGCCUCGCCCUCGGGGAUUCCUCUCCCUGCCCCCCGGGGGCUCCCUGCAAGGCCUUGGGGACCCUGGAGACGGUGACAGCCCUCCCCGUCGGGGGGGGGGGUCCGUGUUAUGCUCGGGAAGUGAGCAUGCGCAGAACUUUGUGAAUUGCUUUCUUUCCUGUUUUAUGAACUUCUCCGAAUGCCUGCACAUUACUCUCCCGAGGGACGGGGGGAGAUAAAUAGCAAUUAAAGUCUUGUCAUCCGA